CUCUUGACAUCCAGCGAACUUUCCAGAGAUGGAUUGGUGCCUUCGGGAACGCUGAGACAGGUGCUGCAUGGCUGUCGUCAGCUCGUGUUGUGAAAUGUUGGGUUAACGUCCGCAACGAGCGCAACCCUUAUCCUUUGUUGCCAGCGAUUCGGUCGGGAACUCAAAGGAGACUGCCGGUGAUAAACCGGAGGAAGGUGGGGAUGACGUCAAGUCAUCAUGGCCCUUACGAGUAGGGCUACACACGUGCUACAAUGGCGCAUACAAAGAGAAGCGACCUCGCGAGAGCAAGCGGACCUCAUAAAGUGCGUCGUAGUCCGGAUCGGAGUCUGCAACUCGACUCCGUGAAGUCGGAAUCGCUAGUAAUCGUGGAUCAGAAUGCCACGGUGAAUACGUUCCCGGGCCUUGUACACACCGCCCGUCACACCAUGGGAGUGGGUUGCAAAAGAAGUAGGUAGCUUAACCCUCGGGAGGGCGCUUACCACUUUGUGAUUCAUGACUGGGGUGAAGUCGUAACAAGGUAGGCGUACGUGU
rnacentral:rRNA from 1 species